CAGCCGCCACGGUAAUACAGAGGAUGCAAGCGUUAUCCGGAAUGAUUGGACGUAAAGCGUCUGUAGGUGGCUUUUCAAGUCCGCCGUCAAAUCCCAGGGCUCAACCCUGGACAGGCGGUGGAAACUACCAAGCUGGAGUACGGUAGGGGCAGAGGGAAUUUCCGGUGGAGCGGUGAAGUGCGUUGAGAUCGGAAAGAGCACCAACGGCGAAAGCACUCUGCUGGGCCGACACUGACACUGAGAGACGAAAGCUAGGGGAGCAAAUGGGAUUAGAUACCCCCGUAGUCCCUGUCUCUUAUAA
rnacentral:rRNA from 1 species